AUUGAACGCUGGCGGCAUGCCUUACACAUGCCAGUCGAACGGCAGCACGGGUGCUUGCACCUGGUGGCGAGUGGCGAACGGGUGAGUAAUACAUCGGAACAUGUCCUGUAGUGGGGGAUAGCCCGGCGAAAGCCGGAUUAAUACCGCAUACGAUCUACGGAUGAAAGCGGGGGACCUUCGGGCCUCGCGCUAUAGGGUUGGCCGAUGGCUGAUUAGCUAGUUGGUGGGGUAAAGGCCUACCAAGGCGACGAUCAGUAGCUGGUCUGAGAGGACGACCAGCCACAUUGGGACUGAGACACGGCCCAGACUCCUACGGGAGGCAGCAGUGGGGAAUUUUGGACAAUGGGCGAAAGCCUGAUCCAGCAAUGCCGCGUGUGUGAAGAAGGCCUUCGGGUUGUAAAGCACUUUUGUCCGGAAAGAAAUCCUUGGCCCUAAUACGGUCGGGGGAUGACGGUACCGGAAGAAUAAGCACCGGCUAACUACGUG
rnacentral:rRNA from 1 species